rnacentral:lncRNA from 1 species
GGAGGUCAGAGCUCGGCGGGGUGCGGCUAGUGGCGGAGCGCGCUGCGAGGGGAGGGCUUUCCACUGUCGCUGGCGUGAACUCGCGUGCCCGGCUUCACCAGGUACUGCCUUCUAACGAGCUGGCCAUUUCCACAUGUCAGAUAGGACCAACUUGCCUUUUAACUACCCGUGUGAUACUUAAACACUGUUGCCGGUAUCACAGCUUUUCUUCAAAACAGGGCAGUCAGUGAAGGCUCCCCAGGGGAGAUGACGUUUGAGCCGAGUUUCAGAAGAUGAUUGGAGUUUACCACGUGUUCACAGGAAGCAACGAGAAUGAGGGCAUUCCAGUAGCAGGAGACAGCAUGCAUAGAGAUGCUGAUGAAGAAAGAGCCUAGCGCACGUGGGAAACUGCAAAAGUUCAGACUGGUUGGAAUGCUGGAAAUGUUGUGAAUGACAGGAGAUGAGGCUGGCGAGAAAACAGAGGUCAGAUUGUGGAAGGCUGUCAAGCCAAAGACUUUGAUUUUAUUCUUGAGAUUGAUGAGAUGUGUGUAAUCCAGGAGUGUGCAAAACAAUCUGUAAGGGUUCAGAAAACAUACUGCUUCUAUAUAUAGUUACCUUUGUCUUAACUUG